ACUCUACUUGUGACAGUGGCUGCAUCUCCUUCAAAGUGUUAGCUGCCUCCAGUCAGUCCUGCCACAGUUCCAGCUCCUGAUGGGGACCAGUACAUGAUGUUUGAUGAUCCUGUCACUGAUGUCACUGACUGCUUCUUCAGGAGCCACUG